rnacentral:rRNA from 1 species
AACGAACGCUGGCGGCGCGCCUAAUACAUGCAAGUCGAGCGAGAAGACGUAGCAAUACGUUUGUAAAGCGGCGAACGGGUGAGGAAUACAUGGGUAACCUACCCUCGAGUGGGGAAUAACUAGCCGAAAGGUUAGCUAAUACCGCGUACGCUCCUCGGACUUCGGUUCAGGGAGGAAAGCGAUACCGUGGGUAUCGCGCUCUUGGAUGGGCUCAUGUCCUAUCAGUUUGUUGGUGAGGAACGGCUCACCAAGGCUUCGACGGGUAGCUGGUCUGAGAGGACGAUCAGCCACACUGGCACUGCGACACGGGCCAGACUCCUACGGGAGGCAGCAGUAAGGAAUAUUGCGCAAUGGGCGAAAGCCUGACGCAGCGACGCCGCGUGGGGGAUGAAGGUCUUCGGAUUGUAAACCCCUUUCGGGAGGGAAGAUGGAACGAGCAAUCGUUCGGACGGUACCUCCAGAAGCAGCCACGGCUAACUUCGUGCCAGCCGCCGCAGUAAU